rnacentral:tRNA from 1 species
GCGAAAGUGGCGGAACCUGGUAGACGCGCUGGACUUAGGAUCCAGUGCUGUAAAGCAUGGGGGUUCAAGUCCCCCCUUUCGCA